rnacentral:rRNA from 2 species
GAAACGACUGCUAAGACUGGAUAGGAGACAAGAGGCAUCUUCUUGUUUUUAAAAGACCUAGCAAUAGGUAUGCUUAGGGAGGAGCUUGCGUCACAUUAGUUAGUUGGUGGGGUAAAGGCCUACCAAGACUAUGAUGUGUAGCCGGGCUGAGAGGUUGAACGGCCACAUUGGGACUGAGACACGGCCCAAACUCCUACGGGAGGCAGCAGUAGGGAAUUUUCGGCAAUGGAGGAAACUCUGACCGAGCAACGCCGCGUGAACGAUGAAGUAUUUCGGUACGUAAAGUUCUUUUAUUAGGGAAGAAUAAAUGAUGGAAAAAUCAUUCUGACGGUACCUAAUGAAUAAGCCCCGGCUAACUAUGUGCCAGCAGCCGCGGUAAUACAUAGGGGGCAAGCGUUAUCCGGAAUUAUUGGGCGUAAAGGGUGCGUAGGCGGUUAAAUAAGUUUAUGGUCUAAGUGCAAUGCUCAACAUUGUGAUGCUAUAAAAACUGUUUAGCUAGAGUAAGAUAGAGGCAAGUGGAAUUCCAUGUGUAGUGGUAAAAUGCGUAAAUAUAUGGAGGAACACCAGUAGCGAAGGCGGCUUGCUGGGUCUUUACUGACGCUGAGGCACGAAAGCGUGGGGAGCAAACAGGAUUAGAUACCCUGGUAGUCCACGCCGUAAACGAUGAGUACUAAACGUUGGGUAAAACCAGUGUUGAAGUUAACACAUUAAGUACUCCGCCUGAGUAGUACGUACGCAAGUAUGAAACUUAAAGGAAUUGACGGGACUCCGCACAAGCGGUGGAUCAUGUUGUUUAAUUCGAAGGUACCCGAAAAACCUCACCAGGUCUUGACAUGCUUCUGCAAAGCUGUAGAAACACAGUGGAGGUUAUCAGUUGCACAGGUGGUGCAUGGUUGUCGUCAGCUCGUGUCGUGAGAUGUUGGGUUAAGUCCCGCAACGAGCGCAACCCUUAUUGUUAGUUACCAGCACGUAAUGGUGGGGACUUUAGCAAGACUGCCAGUGAUAAAUUGGAGGAAGGUGGGGACGACGUCAAAUCAUCAUGCCCCUUAUGACCUGGGCUACAAACGUGAUACAAUGGCUGUUACAAAGGGUAGCUGAAGCGCAAGUUUUUGGCGAAUCUCAAAAAAACAGUCUCAGUUCGGAUUGAAGUCUGCAACUCGACUUCAUGAAGUUGGAAUCGCUAGUAAUCGCGAAUCAGCAUGUCGCGGUGAAUACGUUCUCGGGGUUUGUACACACCGCCCGUC